rnacentral:rRNA from 1 species
AUUGAACGCUGGCGGCAGGCCUAACACAUGCAAGUCGAACGAGUGGCGGACGGGUGAGUAAUGGAUGGGAACUGCGUGAUGGAGGGGGAUAACGAGUGGAAACGGUAGAUAAUACCGCAUACGAUCGGAUAAACGAUAUGGGAUUAGCUAGUAGGUGAGGUAAUGGCUCACCUAGGCGACGAUCCCUAGCUGGUCUGAGAGGAUGAUCAGCCACACUGGGACUGAGACACGGCCCAGACUCCUACGGAGGCAGCAGUGGGGAAUAUUGCACAAUGGGCGAAAGCCUGAUGCAGCCAUGCCGCGUGUAUGAAGAAGGCCCUAGGGUUGUAAAGUACUUUCAGUCGGGAGGCGUUACCGACAGAAGAAGCACCGGCUAACUCCGUGCCAGCAGCCGCGGUAAUAC